UAACACGUAGGUAACCUGCCCAUGUGCCCGGGAUANCUUCUGGAAACGGAUGCUAAAACCGGAUAGGUAGCAGACAAGCAUUUGACUGCUAUUAAAGUGGCCUUGGCCAUGAACAUGGAUGGACCUGCGGUGCAUUAGCUGGUUGGUGAGGUAACGGCCCACCAAGGCGACGAUGCAUAGCCGGCCUGAGAGGGCGGACGGCCACAUUGGGACUGAGACACGGCCCAAACUCCUACGGGAGGCAGCAGUAGGGAAUUUUCGUCAAUGGGGGGAACCCUGAACGAGCAAUGCCGCGUGAGUGAGGAAGGUCUUCGGAUCGUAAAGCUCUGUUGUAAGAGAAAAACGGCACUCAUAGGGAAUGAUGAGUGAGUGAUGGUAUCUUACCAGAAAGUCACGGCUAACUACGUGCCAGCAGCCGCGGUAAUACGUAGGUGGCGAGCGUUAUCCGGAAUGGUUGGGCGUAAAGGGUGCGUAGGUGGCAGAUCAAGUCUGGAGUAAAAGGUAUGGGCUCAACCCGUACUGGCUCUGGAAACUGAUCAGCUAGAGAACAGAAGAGGACGGCGGAACUCCAUGUGUAGCGGUAAAAUGCGUAGAUAUAUGGAAGAACACCGGUGGCGAAGGCGGCCGUCUGGUCUGGAUUCUGACACUGAAGCACGAAAGCGUGGGGAGCAAAUAGGAUUAGAUACCCUAGUAGU
rnacentral:rRNA from 1 species